AGAUGCUUUGGUGCCUUCGGGAACUCUGAGACAGGUGCUGCAUGGCUGUCGUCAGCUCGUGUUGUGAAAUGUUGGGUUAAGUCCCGCAACGAGCGCAACCCUUAUCCUUUGUUGCCAGCGGUUCGGUCGGGAACUCAAAGGAGACUGCCAGUGAUAAACUGGAGGAAGGUGGGGAUGACGUCAAGUCAUCAUGGCCCUUACGAGUAGGGCUACACACGUGCUACAAUGGCAUAUACAAAGAGAAGCGACCUCGCGAGAGCAAGCGGACCUCAUAAAGUAUGUCGUAGUCCGGAUUGGAGUCUGCAACUCGACUCCAUGAAGUCGGAAUCGCUAGUAAUCGUGGAUCAGAAUGCCACGGUGAAUACGUUCCCGGGCCUUGUACACACCGCC
rnacentral:rRNA from 1 species